UACGUAGGGUGCAAGCGUUGUCCGGAAUCAUUGGGCGUAAAGCGCGCGUAGGUGGCCACAUAAGUCCGUUGUGAAAGUCCAAGGCUCAACCUUUGAAAGCCGAUGGAUACUGUGUGGCUAGAGUACGGAAGAGGCGAGUGGAAUUCCUGGUGUAGCGGUGGAAUGCGUAGAUAUCAGGAGGAACACCGGUGGCGAAGGCGGCCUUCUGGACGGCUGCUGAGGCUGAGACGCGAAAGCGUGGGGAGCAAACAGG
rnacentral:rRNA from 1 species